AAUCCAAUGGUGUAAUAGUUUGAACGGAGCCUUUGCCAAAAGAGCGAACACCCAUAAGUGUCGCCCGCUUGUUAUCUUGCAAAGCUCCAGCAACAAUUUCAGAGGCAGAAGCAGAUCCCCUAUUAAUCAAAAUGACCAUCGGUAGUCCAAAAGUCAUAUCACCUGAUCGUGAAUUAUAUCUUCUUUGUUCUCCAUCCCUAUCACGAACUGAGACUAUUAACCCCCCUUCUAGGAACGUAUCUGCUACAGCGACUGACUGAUUUAAUAAACCACCGGGAUUAUUUC
rnacentral:ncRNA from 1 species